CCUUUGCUAGUCUGUACGUCGACUGGUGGUGGUUUGCAGCUCUACUUGACUCAGCUGUGCUCACCGCCAGGGAAAUUGAGGUCUGACAGGGGCCAGGCAGAGUUCCUGAGGCUCAGAGUCACAUUCUGGAGUGUGUGGAUGGGGAGAUUGAGAACUGUUUCGCAUGGUUAGAAGACCCCGGCCACCAGACUUGUCCGAACAAGAUCCAUCCCACCAGGCUUGGGCCUGCAGAAAUGGCCUCUUGACAAGGAUGGUGCUUCACCUUAUGGAAGAACACUGUUUCUAGAAGAUUGAUGAUGGAGGCCUCAUGGUGUACCUGCCAAAGAGAAUUAGGGCUGGGCUGUGAGGGAGGAGCAGGGGCUAUUAGCUAGCUUUUGUCUUCAGGACCCUGUGAAGGCCCAGCUCACCACCA